UACGGGAGGCAGCAGUGGGGAAUCUUAGACAAUGGGGGCAACCCUGAUCUAGCGAUGCCGCGUGAGUGAUGAAGGCCUUAGGGUCGUAAAGCUCUUUCGCCUGUGAUGAUAAUGACAGUAGCAGGUAAAGAAACCCCGGCUAACUCCGUNGCCAGCAGCCGNCGGUAAUACGGAGNGGGGUUAGCGUUGUUCGGAAUUACUGGGCGUAAAGCGCACGUAGGCGGAUUAGUCAGUCAGAGGUGAAAUCCCAGGGCUCAACCCUGGAACUGCCUUUGAUACUGCUAGUCUUGAGUUCGAGAGAGGUAAGUGGAAUUCCGAGUGUAGAGGUGAAAUUCGUAGAUAUUCGGAGGAACACCAGUGGCGAAGGCGGCUUACUGGCUCGAUACUGACGCUGAGGUGCGAAAGUGUGGGGAGCAAACAGGAUUAGAUACCCUGGUAGUCCACACCGUAAACGAUGAAUGCCAGUCGUCGGGUAGCAUGCUAUUCGGUGACACACCUAACGGAUUAAGCAUUCCGCCUGGNGAGUACGGUCGCAAGAUUAAAACUCAAAGGAAUUGA
rnacentral:rRNA from 1 species